rnacentral:sRNA from 1 species
CUUGGUCAUUUAGAGGAAGUAAAAGUCGUAACAAGGUUUCCGUAGGUGAACCUGCGGAAGGAUCAUUACAAGUGAGGCUACCGAACGUUGGAAACAGCGGUUAGGAGCUUACACCCACCCGUGUUUACAUACUAUUGUUGCUUUGGCGGGCCGUGGCCUCCACUGCGGGCUCUGCUCGUGUGUGCCCGCCAGAGAACCAAACUCUGAAUGUUAGUGAUGUCUGAGUACUAUCUAAUAGUUAAAACUUUCAACAACGGAUCUCUUGGUUCUGGCAUCGAUGAAGAACGCAGCGAAAUGCGAUAAGUAAUGUGAAUUGCAGAAUUCAGUGAAUCAUCGAAUCUUUGAACGCACAUUGCGCCCCUUGGUAUUCCGAGGGGCAUGCCUGUUCGAGCGUCAUUACAACCCUCAAGCUCUGCUUGGCAUUGGGCUCCGCGGCUUACCCCGCGGGCCUUAAAAUCAGUGGCGGCGUCUUCAGGCUCUGAACGUAGUAAAUAUUCCUCGUUACGGAGUCCUGGCGGCGGUAGUCAUCAACCCCCAACUUUCUAAGUUUGACCUCGGAUCAGGUAGGGAUACCCGCUGAACUUAAGCAUAUCAAUAAGCGGAGGA